UACGUAGGGUGCAUGCGUUGUCCGGAAUUAUUGGGCGUAAAGAGCUCGUAGGCGGUUUGUCGCGUCUGCUGUGAAAACGCGAGGCUCAACCUCGCGCCUGCAGUGGGUACGGGCAGACUAGAGUGCGGUAGGGGAGAUUGGAAUUCCUGGUGUAGCGGUGGAAUGCGCAGAUAUCAGGAGGAACACCGAUGGCGAAGGCAGAUCUCUGGGCCGUAACUGACGCUGAGGAGCGAAAGCGUGGGGAGCGAACAGG
rnacentral:rRNA from 1 species